UACAGAGGGCGCGAGCGUUGUCCGGAAUCACUGGGCGUAAAGGGCGCGUAGGUGGCCACUAUGAGGCCGCGGUGAAAGUUCGGGGCUCAACCCUGAAUCUGCCGCGGCGACUGUAGGGCUAGGGCACCGUAGAGGCAGAUGGAAUUCCGGGUGUAGCGGUGAAAUGCGCAGAUAUCAGGAGGAACACCGGUGGCGAAGGCGGGUCUCUGGGCCGAUACUGACGCUGAGGAGCGAAAGCGUGGGGAGCGAACAGG
rnacentral:rRNA from 1 species